rnacentral:sRNA from 2 species
UUUUAGCCCCGAUUGCAACGGCAUCCUUUUUUGAGGCGGUACGACGAAAAAAAGAUAAAGUGGAAAGCGGGACGGGUU